rnacentral:misc_RNA from 1 species
GAAAGAAGUAAUUGUUUAGAUCUUUCUGUAUACGAGUGUUGAGAGUUUGUAGAGAGAGGAGGAAGAAACAUGGGACUAGACAAUAUCUCAGCUCAGAAGAGAACCGGCAAUGGAGGGAAUAGUUUACCCACCACUGCUGCCACCGCCAACGGCAGGAGAAGCCGUGGGUUCCCCGGAAUUCCCCGUGGCCGUCAGAUCCAGAAGACAUUCAACAAUAUCAAGAUCACCAUACUCUGUGGCUUCGUCACCAUCCUUGUUCUUCGUGGCACCAUCGGCAUCGGCAACCUUGGUAGCUCCGAGGCUGAUGCUGUAAACCAGAACAUCAUCGAAGAAACCAACCGGAUCCUCGCCGAGAUUCGAUCUGACGGCGACCCCAACGACCCGGAUGAUCCUGCCGAGACCCAAAUCAAC